UAGUACACAAACCAACGAUAACAACAUCCCCACACAACCAACACUAGUCAACCCAACCACCCAACAACCUCCCAUACGUCACAACCCACAGUAAUCUCCCUUUCUUCGACGGUGAAACAUCCGAAAAAGGUUCAAAGCGUAACAAAAUUCCGGACGUCGAACAGUGUGUAAAAUCCCCAUUAAUUAACUUUCCCGUUAACCUAGCAGGGGUACAAAAAUUGUUAAUGAGGCCAUUUCACCAAAAUCCCGACAUACAUCCGUGUAAAAACGGCACUUCACAAGUUGUUUAACUUCGAGCCCUGAAGAAGAUCCAAACCCGAGGAUCGAAACGUCGGCGAUGAAUUAAAAUAAUCAACGCUUAUUUCUGUGACUGCAAGCCGAAACCAUUAGAAGUUCCACCAAAAUCAGUCAUCCUAUCAACAGAU